GGUUAAGCGACUAAGCGUACACGGUGGAUGCCCUGGCAGUCAGAGGCGAUGAAGGACGUGCUAAUCUGCGAAAAGCGUCGGUAAGGUGAUAUGAACCGUUACAGCCGGCGAUGUCCGAAUGGGGAAACCCAGUGCAAUUCGUUGCACUAUCGUUAACUGAAUACAUAGGUUAACGAGGCGAACCGGGGGAACUGAAACAUCUAAGUACCCCGAGGAAAAGAAAUCAACCGAGAUUCCCCCAGUAGCGGCGAGCGAACGGGGAGCAGCCCAGAGUCUGAAUCAGCUUGUGUGUUAGUGGAACGGUCUGGAAAGUCCGACGGUACAGGGUGAUAGUCCCGUACACCAAAAUGCACAGGCUGUGAACUCGAAGAGUAGGGCGGGACACGUGGUAUCCUGUCUGAAUAUGGGGGGACCAUCCUCCAAGGCUAAAUACUCCUGACUGACCGAUAGUGAACCAGUACCGUGAGGGAAAGGCGAAAAGAACCCCGGCGAGGGGAGUGAAAAAGAACCUGAAACCGUGUACGUACAAGCAGUGGGAGCACCUUCGGGUGUGACUGCGUACCUUUUGUAUAAUGGGUCAGCGACUUAUAUUCUGUAGCAAGGUUAACCGUAUAGGGGAGCCGCAGGGAAACCGAGUCUUAACUGGGCGUUAAGUUGCAGGGUAUAGACCCGAAACCCGGUGAUCUAGCCAUGGGCAGGUUGAAGGUUGGGUAACACUAACUGGAGGACCGAACCGACUAAUGUUGAAAAAUUAGCGGAUGACUUGUGGCUGGGGGUGAAAGGCCAAUCAAACCGGGAGAUAGCUGGUUCUCCCCGAAAGCUAUUUAGGUAGCGCCUCGUGAACUCAUCUUCGGGGGUAGAGCACUGUUUCGGCUAGGGGGUCAUCCCGACUUACCAACCCGAUGCAAACUACGAAUACCGAAGAAUGUUAUCACGGGAGACACACGGCGGGUGCUAACGUCCGUCGUGAAGAGGGAAACAACCCAGACCGCCAGCUAAGGUCCCAAAGUCACAGUUAAGUGGGAAACGAUGUGGGAAGGCACAGACAGCCAGGAUGUUGGCUUAGAAGCAGCCAUCAUUUAAAGAAAGCGUAAUAGCUCACUGGUCGAGUCGGCCUGCGCGGAAGAUGUAACGGGGCUAAACUGUGCACCGAAGCUGCGGCAGCGACACUUAGGUGUUGUUGGGUAGGGGAGCGUUCUGUAAGCCUGCGAAGGUGGCCUGUGAGGGUUGCUGGAGGUAUCAGAAGUGCGAAUGCUGACAUAAGUAACGAUAAUGCGGGUGAAAAGCCCGCACGCCGGAAGACCAAGGGUUCCUGUCCAACGUUAAUCGGGGCAGGGUGAGUCGACCCCUAAGGCGAGGCCGAAAGGCGUAGUCGAUGGGAAACAGGUUAAUAUUCCUGUACUUGGUGUUACUGCGAAGGGGGGACGGAGAAGGCUAUGUUAGCCGGGCGACGGUUGUCCCGGUUUAAGCAUGUAGGCGGAGGUUCCAGGUAAAUCCGGUACCUUUUAACGCUGAGGUGUGAUGACGAGGCACUACGGUGCUGAAGUAACAAAUGCCCUGCUUCCAGGAAAAGCCUCUAAGCAUCAGGUAACAUUGAAUCGUACCCCAAACCGACACAGGUGGUCAGGUAGAGAAUACCAAGGCGCUUGAGAGAACUCGGGUGAAGGAACUAGGCAAAAUGGUGCCGUAACUUCGGGAGAAGGCACGCUGAUAUGUAGGUGAAGCCCCUGCGGGUGGAGCUGAAAUCAGUCGAAGAUACCAGCUGGCUGCAACUGUUUAUUAAAAACACAGCACUGUGCAAACACGAAAGUGGACGUAUACGGUGUGACGCCUGCCCGGUGCCGGAAGGUUAAUUGAUGGGGUUAUCCGUAAGGAGAAGCUCUUGAUCGAAGCCCCGGUAAACGGCGGCCGUAACUAUAACGGUCCUAAGGUAGCGAAAUUCCUUGUCGGGUAAGUUCCGACCUGCACGAAUGGCGUAAUGAUGGCCAGGCUGUCUCCACCCGAGACUCAGUGAAAUUGAACUCGCUGUGAAGAUGCAGUGUACCCGCGGCAAGACGGAAAGACCCCGUGAACCUUUACUAUAGCUUGACACUGAACAUUGAGCCUUGAUGUGUAGGAUAGGUGGGAGGCUUUGAAGCGUGGACGCCAGUCUGCGUGGAGCCAACCUUGAAAUACCACCCUUUAAUGUUUGAUGUUCUAACGUUGGCCCCUAAUCGGGGUUGCGGACAGUGUCUGGUGGGUAGUUUGACUGGGGCGGUCUCCUCCCAAAGAGUAACGGAGGAGCACGAAGGUUAGCUAAUCCUGGUCGGACAUCAGGAGGUUAGUGCAAUGGCAUAAGCUAGCUUGACUGCGAGCGUGACGGCGCGAGCAGGUGCGAAAGCAGGUCAUAGUGAUCCGGUGGUUCUGAAUGGAAGGGCCAUCGCUCAACGGAUAAAAGGUACUCCGGGGAUAACAGGCUGAUACCGCCCAAGAGUUCAUAUCGACGGCGGUGUUUGGCACCUCGAUGUCGGCUCAUCACAUCCUGGGGCUGAAGUAGGUCCCAAGGGUAUGGCUGUUCGCCAUUUAAAGUGGUACGCGAGCUGGGUUUAGAACGUCGUGAGACAGUUCGGUCCCUAUCUGCCGUGGGCGCUGGAGAAUUGAGGGGGGCUGCUCCUAGUACGAGAGGACCGGAGUGGACGCAUCACUGGUGUUCGGGUUGUCAUGCCAAUGGCAUUGCCCGGUAGCUAAAUGCGGAAGAGAUAAGUGCUGAAAGCAUCUAAGCACGAAACUUGCCCCGAGAUGAGUUCUCCCUGACUCCUUGAGAGUCCUGAAGGAACGUUAAAGACGAUGACGUUGAUAGGUCGGGUGUGUAAGCGUAGCGAUACGUUGAGCUAACCGAUACUAAUGAACCGUGAGGCUUAACCUU
rnacentral:rRNA from 1 species